rnacentral:rRNA from 1 species
AGAGUUUGAUCAUGGCUCAGAUUGAACGCUGGCGGCAGGCCUAACACAUGCAAGUCGAGCGGUAGAGAGAAGCUUGCUUCUCUUGAGAGCGGCGGACGGGUGAGUAAUGCCUAGGAAUCUGCCUGGUAGUGGGGGAUAACGUCCGGAAACGGACGCUAAUACCGCAUACGUCCUACGGGGGAAAGCAGGGGACCUUCGGGCCUUGCGCUAUCAGAUGAGCCUAGGUCGGAUUAGCUAGUUGGUGGGGUAAUGGCUCACCAAGGCGACGAUCCGUAACUGGUCUGAGAGGAUGAUCAGUCACACUGGAACUGAGACACGGUCCAGACUCCCACGGGAGGCAGCAGUGGGGAAUAUUGGACAAUGGGCGAAAGCCUGAUCCAGCCAUGCCGCGUGUGUGAAGAAGGUCUUCGGAUUGUAAAGCACUUUAAGUUGGGAGGAAGGGCAGUAAAUUAAUACUUUGCUGUUUUGACGUUACCGACAGAAUAAGCACCGGCUAACUCUGUGCCAGCAGCCGCGGUAAUACAGAGGGUGCAAGCGUUAAUCGGAAUUACUGGGCGUAAAGCGCGCGUAGGUGGUUCGUUAAGUUGGAUGUGAAAUCCCCGGGCUCAACCUGGGAACUGCAUUCACAACUGACGAGCUAGAGUAUGGUAGAGGGUGGUGGAAUUUCCUGUGUAGCGGUGAAAUGCGUAGAUAUAGGAAGGAACACCAGUGGCGAAGGCGACCACCUGGACUGAUACUGACACUGAGGUGCGAAAGCGUGGGGAGCAAACAGGAUUAGAUACCCCGGUAGUCC